UGGGGAAUUUUGGACAAUGGGGGAAACCCUGAUCCAGCCAUCCCGCGUGUGCGAUGAAGGCCUUCGGGUUGUAAAGCACUUUUGGCAGGAAAGAAACGUCGCGGGUUAAUACCCCGCGAAACUGACGGUACCUGCAGAAUAAGCACCGGCUAACUACGUGCCAGCAGCCGCGGUAAUACGUAGGGUGCAAGCGUUAAUCGGAAUUACUGGGCGUAAAGCGUGCGCAGGCGGUUCGGAAAGAAAGAUGUGAAAUCCCAGAGCUUAACUUUGGAACUGCAUUUUUAACUACCGGGCUAGAGUGUGUCAGAGGGAGGUGGAAUUCCGCGUGUAGCAGUGAAAUGCGUAGAUAUGCGGAGGAACACCGAUGGCGAAGGCAGCCUCCUGGGAUAACACUGACGCUCAUGCACGAAAGCGUGGGGAGCAAACAGGAUUAGAUACCCUGGUAGUCCACGCCCUAAACGAUGUCAACUAGCUGUUGGGGCCUUCGGGCCUUGGUAGCGCAGCUAACGCGUGAAGUUGACCGCCUGGGGAGUACGGUCGCAAGAUUAAAACUCAAAGGAAUUGAC
rnacentral:rRNA from 1 species